AGAUGAUGAUCCCAAGCCUUCUGGCGAUCUAGACAAAACAAGUCCACCGUGGGCUUUGAAAAACGCUUUCCUUGAUAAAAUUUAAGCGUUUUAUAAGAGGAUGCCCGGGAAGGUUUUCCGGUUUAUCCCGGAGGGCUUGUAGCUCAGUUGGUUAGAGCGCGCGCUUGAUAAGCGUGAGGUCGGAGGUUCAAGUCCUCCCAGGCCCACCAGUUUAUCCAUUACUUUCAUAAGUGCUUUUAAAAAAUAAGUACUUCUAGAAAGAUUGCUUCUAAAAAGCUUAUCAAAAUUGGCAGGCUUAUUGCUUUUGUGUGAGUAAUCCAAAGUUAAAGCAAAUUAAUGGCAAAAAAACAGUUCAAAUGCUAAAUACUAAGAAGUCAAAAUUCCUUGCAAAGUGAUUUUUACAGCGUCCAUUUGGUUGAUAUAAAUUCCAAAUGCUCAUAGACGUCAAUGCCUAUAUGAAACUAUCGGUUCAAUCAUAUCGCUUUGAGUUAUAUAGAUUUUGUAAUCCCUCUUUUGAUCGCUUUAAACGCUUUAUCCUGAUUUAGGGGCCGUAGCUCAGCUGGGAGAGCACCUGCUUUGCAAGCAGGGGGUCGUCGGUUCGAUCCCGUCCGGCUCCACCAUAAGGUCAUCAUCAUUGUUGUAAGAACA
rnacentral:tRNA from 1 species